rnacentral:rRNA from 1 species
GAUGAACGCUGGCGGCGUGCCUAAUACAUGCAAGUCGAGCGAACAGACGAGGAGCUUGCUCCUCUGACGUUAGCGGCGGACGGGUGAGUAACACGUGGAUAACCUACCUAUAAGACUGGGAUAACUUCGGGAAACCGGAGCUAAUACCGGAUAAUAUAUUGAACCGCAUGGUUUAAUAGUGAAAGACGGUUUUGCUGUCACUUAUAGAUGGAUCCGCGCCGCAUUAGCUAGUUGGUAAGGUAACGGCUUACCAAGGCAACGAUGCGUAGCCGACCUGAGAGGGUGAUCGGCCACACUGGAACUGAGACACGGUCCAGACUCCUACGGGAGGCAGCAGUAGGGAAUCUUCCGCAAUGGGCGAAAGCCUGACGGAGCAACGCCGCGUGAGUGAUGAAGGUCUUCGGAUCGUAAAACUCUGUUAUUAGGGAAGAACAAAUGUGUAAGUAACUAUGCACGUCUUGACGGUACCUAAUCAGAAGGCCACGGCUAACUACGUG